CCCGGUGGCUAAAGAGCAGAUAGCAGAGGAUGCACGUAGGAUGCGGUUGGCGGCGCUGGAUGGAUCGACGAUUCGUUCGUCGCUCGUCUGAGUUCUACGCCGCCCCUGCGCAACUUCCUAGCGCUCAUCUCCUUAAGAUGGGCGAGCUCUCCCCUGGCUUCGAACAGGUUCAUUCUGCUGUUCUUCCUCUCUGUAUUUGCUACUCCGGUGAGAACUGGAACUACCAGCACUUCGUUCUCUGGUAUUCUGGUGACGAUUCUUGCUGGGAGUGGUUCAAAGUAGGAGGAAGUGGUGCUGUGCUUGCACAGCGUGUUUUCCUGUGCUCUGUUGCUGGAAUCGUGCAUCCGUGUGGUGCUGCGGUUCUUCUCUGAUCUCUGUCCACCGUGGCCUGGUGCUUGGGCUCCCUGCUGCGCGGUGUUCGGCUUCUCGGGCUGGUGCUGUGGACGUCUCCCUCGGCUCCGGCAGCGGCUCUAGUAUCUCCGUCAAUCUUCCGUCGUGUAGGCCCGGACGUGGGCGGCAGAAUUGGUUUUCUGGGACAGAACCUUGUGUUCGCUGAGCUGGUCUUCCCACGUAGACAAUCUACGUGCUCGCCUUCUUCAAGUCGCCACAGCUCAAGACGCGGACCACCACCACGGACAUGCAGUGCCAUGUCGGCCGCGCUAUGGACGGACGUGUGGAGCAGGCGCCAUCGGAGCUUGAGCGACAGCGGCGAUGCGUCCGAGCAUGUCGAGUCCAUAGGUAAUGCGACGCGACCUGAGCACUGUUGCCUUCCUCUUACCAUAAAAUAUAACUAGAUAGGUGUCCAUGUGUUGCGACGUAACACAAAUUGACGAGCUUAGGACCCUGACGACGAAUGACGAGAGUACAAUGGUGAUGGGAACCUCAUGAAUAACAGUGCCAUGUUGUACAAGAGCGUGAGCCUGAGCACGCCACCACUCAA